UAUGGAUUGGCGCGUGCUAUACAUGCAGUCGAGCGGACAGAUGGGAGCUUGCUCCCUGAUGUUAGCGGCGGACGGGUGAGUAACACGUGGGUAACCUGCCUGUAAGACUGGGAUAACUCCGGGAAACCGGGGCUAAUACCGGAUGCUUGUUUGAACCGCAUGGUUCAAACAUAAAAGGUGGCUUCGGCUACCACUUACAGAUGGACCCGCGGCGCAUUAGCUAGUUGGUGAGGUAAUGGCUCACCAAGGCAACGAUGCGUAGCCGACCUGAGAGGGUGAUCGGCCACACUGGGACUGAGACACGGCCCAGACUCCUACGGGAGGCAGCAGUAGGGAAUCUUCCGCAAUGGACGAAAGUCUGACGGAGCAACGCCGCGUGAGUGAUGAAGGUUUUCGGAUCGUAAAGCUCUGUUGUUAGGGAAGAACUAGUAUCGAUCUCUUCGGCGAUACUCUAGACGCGACCUAUCAAUAAAAGAAGAUUAUAAUAUCGUGGCUCCGAGGCGCUAUUUGACUCUUGGCAACGGCUUGUCUAUACUUCUUCUGCUCUUGGACUCCUUUUUCAGGAUCCCAAAGUCUGACGAGACUUCCACGGUCUUGUAGAGGAGAGAGCCAUCAUACAAUCUUCUUCUUCCAUGCAGGUAACAUAGACAGACGUUGUUCACCGUCUAACCA
rnacentral:rRNA from 1 species